AUAGCGUAUAUUAAAGUUGUUGCAGUUAAAAAGCUCGUAGUUGAACUUCAGGCCUGGCUGGGUGGUCUGCUUAACGGCAUGUACUGUCCGGCUGGGUCUUACCUCUUGGUGAGCCGGUGUGCCCUUUAUUGGUGUGCAUUGGGGAACCAGGACUUUUACCUUGAGAAAAUUAGAGUGUUCAAAGCAGGCUUAUGCCCGAAUACAUUAGCAUGGAAUAAUAAAAUAGGACGUGUGGUUCUAUUUUGUUGGUUUCUAGAGUCGCCGUAAUGAUUAAUAGGGAUAGUUGGGGGCAUUGGUAUUGAGUCGCUAGAGGUGAAAUUCUUGGAUUGACUCAAGACCAACUAUUG
rnacentral:rRNA from 1 species